AAGCAAUGAUUAUAGAAAUAUUUGCUACUUCUGAUGAAUAAUGAAGCUAAAAAAUAUCACCAAGAUCUAUGAGCUU
rfam:Rhizopus oryzae RA 99-880 supercont3.14 genomic scaffold, whole genome shotgun sequence.